rnacentral:lncRNA from 1 species
CUUCUGGUGUUAUUAAGCCAUAGGCAUUGUACAUCUUAGGGCCCAAAUCUGGCCGUACAAAAUAGUUGGGAAGUCGAGAGGCAAGGUUGAGCUUUCCACCUCUCCUCGUGUACUCUGGCAGUGGAAUAUUUUUCAUCAAAUCAUCAAACCGAGAAGGCAUCAUAUCUCUGAAAUCUUCUCCCGGAGGCCAAUCUUUAAGCUUCAACACCAUUGGCUCUCCUUCUUCUGUUCUCAGGC